CCCUUAGACGUUCUGGGCCGCACGCGCGCUACACUGACGAAGGCAACGAGCUUUCCUUUACCGAAAGGUACGGGUAAUCUUUUGAAACUUCGUCGUGCUGGGGAUAGAUCCUUGCAAUUUUUGAUCUUAAACGAGGAAUGCCUAGUAAGCGCAAGUCAUCAACUUGCGUUGAUUACGUCCCUGCCCUUUGUACACACCGCCCGUCGCUACUACCGAUUGAAUGGUUUAGUGCGGCCUUCGGAUCCGCGACUCGUUUGUGGAGAAGUUGGACAAACUCAGUCAUUUAGAGGAAGUAAAAGUCGUAACA
rnacentral:rRNA from 1 species